UACGGGGGGGGCAAGCGUUGUUCGGAAUUACUGGGCGUAAAGGGCUUGUAGGUGGCCAACUAAGUCCGACGUGAAAUCCCUAGGCUUAACCUGGGAACUGCGUCUGAUACUGGAAGGCUUGAGUGCGGGAGAGGGAUGUGGAAUUCCAGGUGUAGCGGUGAAAUGCGUAGAUAUCUGGAGGAACACCGGUGGCGAAGGCGGCAUCCUGGACCGACACUGACGCUGAGGCGCGAAAGCUAGGGUAGCAAACGGG
rnacentral:rRNA from 1 species